GCAUUGGUGGUUCAGAGGUAGAAUUCUUGCUUUCCAUGUGGGAGAUCUGGGUUCAAUUCCAGGCCAGUGCA
rnacentral:tRNA from 1 species